rnacentral:rRNA from 1 species
AAAGCUGCAACUACCUUUUUGAACUCCUCGCGAGUCACCCACCGGCCAAUACCGAGACCAACCUGAGAGGGUGAGGGGAGAGGGAGAGAUGAUUGGGGGAGGAGGGGGAGGGGCGCUGCGGCGGGUGGGCAAGUACGAGGUGGGGCGGACCAUCGGGGAGGGGACGUUCGCCAAGGUCAAGUUCGCGCAGAACACGGAGACAGGGGAGAGCGUCGCCAUGAAGGUGCUCGAUCGCUCCUCCAUCCUCAAGCACAAGAUGGUGGAUCAGAUCAAGAGAGAGAUAUCCAUAAUGAAGCUUGUGAGGCAUCCCAAUGUGGUCAGAUUACAUGAGGUUUUGGCGAGCCGAAAGAAGAUAUUUAUAAUCUUGGAGUUCAUCACUGGUGGUGAACUAUUUGACAAAAUUAUUCGUCAUGGGAGACUCAGUGAAGCGGAUGCACGUAAAUACUUUCAGCAGCUUAUUGAUGGUGUUGAUUUUUGCCACAGCAAAGGAGUCUACCAUCGAGAUCUAAAGCCUGAAAAUCUUCUCCUUGAUUCCCAAGGAAAUCUUAAAAUUUCAGACUUUGGACUCAGUGCAUGGCCUGCACAGGGAGCUGCCCUUCUACGCACUACCUGUGGAACCCCAAACUAUGUUGCCCCAGAGAUUGAGAGCGCAGAAUAUUCAUUCCCAGCUGUGUUUCCAAGUGGUGCUAAGUCACUGAUACGUAGAAUUCUGGAUCCUAGCCCAGAUACACGAAUCAGGAUAGAAGAGAUCAGAAAGGAUGAAUGGUUUAAGAAAAAUUAUGAACCUGUCAGGGAACUAGAAAAUGAAGAAGUCAAUCUCGAUGAUGUUAAUGCAGCUUUUGAUGAUCCUGAGGAGGACAAUCAACAUACUUUUGACGAUGAAGCAGGCCCUUUGACGCUCAAUGCAUUCGAUCUAAUUAUUCUAUCUCAAGGGUUGAACCUUUCGGCCCUAUUUGAUCGCCGACAGGACUAUGGCAAGCUUCAAAAUAGAUUUUUAUCACGCAAACCAGCAAAUGUUAUAUUGUCAAGUAUGGAGGUUGUUGCUCAAUCCAUGGGGUUUAAGACACAUAUUCGCAAUUAUAAGAUGAGGGUGGAAGGUCCAAAUGCGAACAAGACUAGCCAUCUCACAAUUAUGCUUCAAAUUUUUGAAGUUGCCCCAUCAAUCUUUAUGGUGGAAUUAGAGAGAUCUGCUGGAGAUACUUCAGAGUAUAAUAAGUUCGUAAACAACUACUGCUCCAAAUUAGAUGAUAUCAUCUGGAAAGUUUCUGCUGAGAAGGGAAAAUCUAGGACAUCCCGGCUAUCGAAGCGCUAAUUUAUGCACCUAUUACAAUUUAUCUGUAACCAUGUGGGUUUGCUGCAGGGAGGGGGAGAUUGUGUUUAGUGCCAUGAUUGUAUACUACGACUAGUCGAGUCUGCUUGUACAAAGAGGUCCAUCUAGUAGUUCUGACAUGUCAGUUUUCAUGUACAGAAAUGUGUCAAACAAACUGUACUUCACUUGUCUCCGGGUUUGUUCGGGGAGUUGACAUAAUUGGUGUGACUUGUAUACUGCCAACAUUUGUUGCUUUCGUUCCAUUUCUACUCUUCAAUUUGUUAGCUUGCAUGACUCAUUAUCAACUGAUUAAACAGCAUCACCUCAUUGGUGUUAUCGUGUGC